rnacentral:pre_miRNA from 1 species
AGUAUGAUUAUUGAAUCAUAUGAUAACAAUGUUUAGUUUUGUAAGCAACUGCCGAACUAUCUUUCAAAGAGACUGUACCAUUUUGCAUUCCCAUCAGUAAU